AUGAACACUAGUUCAAACGAAAAAUAGUUCAAAUGUACCAUAGUUCAAACGGCAGUAGUUCAAAUGAGAAUCCACCCAGUUGGAGCAACCUGAUCUAGGCAGGAUAGUUUAUCCUAAGUUUAUCAGUAUACUCAAGAUAUACCGGAGCUAUGUUCAAUCUAUAUAUCUACUCUGGAGAUAUCGGAGUUGUGUUUAAUCAAUCAAUCAAUCCACUCUGUAUAUAGACGAGCUUUGUUCAAUCAACCAAUCUAUUCUGAGAGUUUAUAUGUCGUAUUUAUCUUGUGAAAGAUUUUUUUAGAAGUCGUCUUUUUUAUGAAAAAUAUCAGAUGUUCAUAGGAUCUUUUUUAAAUGAGCUGAUCAGACCCACUUUAGUAUGUGUCUUUCUCCUUAUUUCAGCACUUUUUUGGUUUUAAUUUUAGAUAUCCUGAUUUCUCAUUUUACCUCAACAAUCCCUUCUUAACGUUAACUUCUUUUAAUCAGUGUUAACAUUUGUUUACCGAUCCAUUUUUUAUUCACUUUAUUUUACAAGAUUAUUUAUACCCAUGAAAGUAUAACAUGUUUUGUACAUAUUUCAGAGAGAAUGGCAGAAAUUAUGGAAAAAGAUAAAGUAACCAUGAACGAAGAAAUCUCUACUGUAGAGAAUGCAUGUACUGAACUUGUAUUGGGAGAAGAUGUAAAAGAAGAAAGUACAGAAAAUCAAGGUGGGUUGAAUACUGGAAUACAGGAUACUGAACAAAAUAAAUCUGUAUUUGAUCCUGCUAUACACACAGAGCUCAUCAUUAAAGAUGAGUACGGGGAAUUUGGUUCAGAAAUUAUGGAAGAAGAUAAAGUUGCCAUCAAAGAAGAAAUCUCUACUAUAGAGGAUACAUGUACUGUAUUUGUAGUGGGAGAAGAUGUAAAAGAAGAAAGUACAGAAAAUCAAGGUGAAGUCUUCAAGAUUGAAGAAGAUCCCCUUUUCUCUGUACAAAAGAGGCUUAAAAAGAGUAAGCUAAGAGGUAAAAGAAAUAAAAGUUUUCCCUGUGGGAAAUGUGAUUAUGUGGCAACUGAAUCCACUAAUUUGAAGAGACAUAUUAGAAAUAAACAUGAAGGAUUGAUAUAUCCUUGUUCUCGUUGUGAAUAUACUGCCACUCAAGCAGGGCAUCUGAAAAUACAUAUUAAAAAUAAGCAUGGAGAAGUAAGAUUUUCCUGCGAUAAGUGUGAAUAUGUUGCUUCCGGUGUAAGGAGACUGAAGUUACACAUUGACUCUAAACAUGUAGGAGUAAGAUAUCCAUGCGACAAAUGUGAUCACGCUGCCACUACAGCAAGUUUUCUGAAAAGACAUAUUGAAAUUAAACAUGAAGGAGUGAGAUAUCCCUGUAACCAGUGUGAAUAUGUUGCCACAAGUGUAGGGGGUCUGAAAAUACACAUUGAAUCUAAACAUGAAGGAGUGAGAUAUCCAUGCGACCAAUGUGAUCAUGUUGCCACGACAGCAAGUCGUCUGAAGAUACAUAUUGAAACUAAACAUGAAGGAGUGAGAUAUCUAUGCGACCAAUGUGAUCACUCUGUCACUAGAGCAAGUUAUCUGAAAAGACAUAUUAAAAAUAUUCAUGAAGGAGUGAGAUAUCCUUGUUCUCAUUGUGAAUACACUGCCACUCAAGCAGGGCAUUUGAAAAUACAUAUUAAAAAUAAGCAUGAAGGAGUGAGAUAUCCAUGCGAUCAGUGUGAAUACGCUGCCACAGAAACAAGUAGUCUGAAGAAACAUAUCAAAAAUAAACAUGAAGGAGUGAGAUAUCCUUGCGAUCAAUGUGAAUACGCUGCCACUGGAACAAGUAGUCUUAAGAAACAUAUUAGAAAUAAACAUGAAGGAGUGAGGUAUCCCUGUGAUCAGUGUGAAUACGCUGCCACUGCUUUAAGUAUUCUGAAGAAACAUAUUGAAUCUGAACAUGACGGAGUGACAUAUCCCUGCGAUAAGUGUGAAUAUGUUGCUACUGGUGUAGGGAGUUUGAAGUUACACAUUGACUCUAAACAUAAAGGAGUGAGUUAUCCCUGUAACCAGUGUAUAUACGUUGCCACAAGUGUGAGAAGUCUGAAGUUACACAUUAAAUCUAAACAUGAAGGAGUGAGAUAUGCGUGCGAUCAAUGUGAUUACGCUGCCACUGCUUUAAGUAUUCUGAAGAGACAUAUUGAAUCUAAACAUGAAGGAGUGAGAUAUCCCUGUGGCCACUGUAUGUAUGCUGCAACAGACCCAAGAAAUCUGAAGAAACAUAUUAAAGUUAAACAUGAAGGAGUGAGAUAUCCCUGUGAUCAGUGUGAAUACAUUGCUACUGGUGUACAGGGUCUGAAGUUACAUAUUGAAUUUAAACAUGAAGGAGUGAGAUAUUCUUGCGAUCACUGUGAAUACACUGCCACUGAACCAAGACAUCUGAAGAAACAUAUUAAAUCUAAACACGAAGGAGUGAAAUAUCCCUGCGAUCAAUGUGAGUACUCUGCCAUUACAGUAAGUAAUCUGAAGAUGCACAUUGAACAUUUUCAUAAAGGAGUUAGAUAUCCCUGUGAUCAGUGUGAAUACGUUGCCACUCUAUCCUGUCAUUUAAAAACACAUAAAAAAGUGAAUCAUAUUAAUUAAGAAGGGCUUUGCACUAUAAACUUGAAUUUAUCAUUUCUCUGUUGUAUAUUUCCUUUAUCAAAACCCAACUGUGUUCCCACCCUCCCCUCAUCAUUCUUAUUUUCUUAGAUAAUGUUUUUAACAUUUUUACAUUUUUGUAGAAGAUUAUUACAUCUUUGAACAAUAAAAAAGAUUAUAAACGUUUUUUUUUCAAUUUUAUGAAUUAACAAAUUUCAUGCGAACUUUUUAAGGAAGGAUAUUUGUCUCAUACUGGAUUAACUAUUUUUAAAUUUUUUUUCCAUUUUUAAAAUUUUAAUAUUCUUGAUACUUUUUCAACAACAUAUUAUUGGUAAAGUUUUUUUUUCAAUUUUAUGAAAAACCAAAUAUCAUGCUAAACUUACAUGAAAGGAUUCUUGUAUCAUACAACAUAGAUAAACUUUUUUUGAAUAUUUAAAAAAUAUUUUUGACCAAACUGUCCACAACAAUUUUGGUUUCAUUGGAGAUGUAAAAAAUGAUAUCAUGUGAGCAGUUAAAAUUACAUUGAAUCUAAUUUUCAGAUAAAAUGGAAAAGACUGAAAAGAAAUGGUUAAAUAUAUUAGAGCAGAUUAAAUCCUUCCAUCCUCUAUUGUAGAAAAUACAUGUACUGAAGAUACAGGAAUACAAGAUUGAUUUGUUGAACUGUAAUAACUAUUCAGAGAUCUGAGACCCUGGAGCUUUAUUCAAUCAAAUAGUUUACUCUGGAGAUAUCGGAGUUAUGUUCAAUCGAUUUUUAUUCCAGAGAGAUCAGAGCUGUGUUCAAUCAAUCAAUCUUUAAGAUGUCAUCUUUGUCAUGUAAAAGAUGUGUAUAAAUGUCGUCUUUCUUAAUGAAAGGGAUCAGCUGUUCAUGGCAUCUUAUCCAAAUGAGCUGAUCUGACCAAGUAAAGUAUGCGUUUUAUAUGAAGUAAUAUGCAGUCAUAAUAAAGAAAUAAAAACUAGAACUUA